UGGGGAAUUUUGCACAAUGGGGGAAACCCUGAUGCAGCGACGCCGCGUGUUUUAGAAUGCCUUCGGGUUGUAAAAAUCUUUUCUAUGGGAAGAAAAUGACAGUACCAUAGGAAUAAGGACCGGCUAAUUACGUGCCAGCAGCCGCGGUAAUACGUAAGGUCCGUGCGUUGUCCGGAAUCAUUGGGCGUAAAGGGUACGUAGGCGGGUAAGCAAGUUAGAAGUGAAAUCCUAUAGCUCAACUAUAGUAAGCUUUUAAAACUGCUCAUCUUGGGGGAUGGAAGGGAAAGUGGAAUUCCUGGUGUAGCGGUGAAAUGCGCGGAUGUUAGGAGGAAUUCCGGUGGCGAAGGCGACUUUCUGGCCAUGACCUGACGCUGAGGUACGAAAGCGUGGGUAGCAAACAGG
rnacentral:rRNA from 1 species